rnacentral:rRNA from 1 species
AACGGCCGUACCAUGCUGAAUAUACCGGUUCUCGUUAGAUCACCGAAGUCAAGCAUCAUUGGGCGCGGUCAGUACUUGGUGGGUGACCACCUGGGAACACUGCGUGCCGUU